rnacentral:rRNA from 1 species
GACGAACGCUGGCGGCGUGCUUAACACAUGCAAGUCGAACGGAAAGGCCCUGCUUUUGUGGGGUUCUCGAUUGGCGAACGGGUGAGUAUCACGUGUGUAACCUCCCCUUGACUUUGGGAUAACUUUAGGAAACUGGGGCUAAUACCGGAUAUGAGCUCCUGCUGCAUGGUGGUGGUUGGAAAGUUUCGGCGGUUGGGGAUGGACUCGCGGCUUAUCAGCUUGUUGGUGUGGUAGUGGCUUACCAAGGCUUUGACGGGUAGCCGGCCUGAGAGGGUGACCGGCCACAAUGGGACUGAGAGACGGCCCAGACUCCUACGGGAGGCAGCAGUGGGGAAUAUGGCACAAUGGGCGGAAGCCUGAGGCAGCAACGCCGGGUGCGGGAUGACGGGCUUCGGGGUGUAAACAGCUUUCGACGGUGACGAAGAGUGAGUGACGGUAAUGGGUAAAGAAGCACCGGCUAACUACGUG